UACGGAGGGUGCGAGCGUUGUCCGGAAUCACUGGGCGUAAAGGGCGCGUAGGUGGCCUGUGGAAGUCUGCGGUGAAAGCCCGGCGCUCAACGCCGGGUCGGCCGUGGAUACUCUCGGGCUUGAGCUUACUAGAGGCAGAUGGAAUUCCGGGUGUAGCGGUGGAAUGCGUAGAGAUCCGGAAGAACACCGGUGGCGAAGGCGGUCUGCUGGGGUAAUGCUGACACUGAUGCGCGACAGCGUGGGGAGCAAACGGG
rnacentral:rRNA from 1 species